GAAAAAGAGAGAGGAAGAGACACAGAGAGAGAACGAGAGAGAAAAAAAACAGGGGGAGAUAGCAGGGAGCUCGACUGCAGUGAUCAUUUCUACGGUGUGGCCAGAUUUUUUUUUUUUUCUGCAGCAAUAAUCCCCCUUUCCGGCACUACAGGACACAGGGAAAGCCUGCAAUUUAUGGAAUAUCUGAUGGCUCAGCUUUCCCCUCCUUUCCUCAGAGUCAUGAUGCCAUGUUCACAUUAAGGUGCACUGAGAAGGGGAGAAUGAUGUAUGGCCUGCAGUCCUUCAACCUUCCAGUCAUCUCCACCCUAAGAAAGGCUAGUGAUGAGUCGGCAAGCAUUAGUUGACAGAGAGUCAAAUUAUCAACAGGAUUAAAAAUAAAUAAAUAAAGCGCUCCAGCAACGCUUCCUAAGAAGACCAGCGGGAAGGGCUUACAGACGAGAACUACUCUAUACCCCAGGAGUUUCUGCUGGAAAUAUAGUUUGGUUAACUGGAAAUCCAGGGCGCUGCAGCAUUUAAAGGUAAAACAACAGAAACCCAUUACCAUCUUUACUUUUGGUUCCGCUGCCUCAGCCAAGCCAUCCAGGUGAGGGUUAAUAAACAGAGAAAACCUGGAGAGGUUCCAAAUAAAGUGAGAACUAUAAAGACGAAGGCCAACGCUGCAAACAUCUCAGCCAGAAAGAACACUCUUAGCACCCUACAAGCAGGUAUGUGCUUACCAGCAAACUAAAGCAAAUGGAAAUUAAGAAGCAUGAUCACCACCAGCAAGGUGCUGCUGAACUAUAAGGGUCCUCACUGCACAGCUGCUGUUUUACUCCAGAAGUGGCGAGCUGGGGAUGAGGAAGCACAGGAGACGGCCUUAGGAAAAUCCUCACUCUUCCAGAGAGCUCCAUUUUCACUUCUGCUGGUCCUCACCAUGGGAGAGUGUGGGAUCAAGAGACCAAGGAAAGGCCAACUGAUGUGUUUCAUUCUUCUUUUUCCCCUUCCACUUUAACAUAUUAGAGGAGUGUUAUUUGGAAUUUCGACAUUUACAAAGAGUUUAAGGUUAAAUUAUUCUGGUGGAAAAGAAAAAUGCCAAUCCUUUCCCCUAAAGACAGCAAAACUGGUUAGCAUGAAAAUGCUCCCAGGAUGUUCAAGUCUUUUGGAGUUUCUCCUUACCAAUAACUCUUCAUGAACACCCCUCUGUGAAGUAGCUUGAAACAAU
rnacentral:lncRNA from 1 species